rnacentral:rRNA from 1 species
GACGAACGCUGGCGGCGUGCUUAACACAUGCAAGUCGAACGGAAAGGCCCUGCUUUUGUGGGGUGCUCGAGUGGCGAACGGGUGAGUAACACGUGAGUAACCUGCCCUUGACUUUGGGAUAACUUCAGGAAACUGGGGCUAAUACCGGAUAGGAGCCCCUGCUGCAUGGUGGGGGUUGGAAAGUUUCGGCGGUUGGGGAUGGACUCGCGGCUUAUCAGCUUGUUGGUGGGGUAGUGGCUUACCAAGGCUUUGACGGGUAGCCGGCCUGAGAGGGUGACCGGCCACAUUGGGACUGAGAUACGGACCAGACUCCUACGGGAGGCAGCAGUGGGGAAUAUUGCACAAUGGGCGGAAGCCUGAUGCAGCAACGCCGCGUGCGGGAUGACGGCCUUCGGGUUGUAAACCGCUUUCGCCUGUGACGAAGCGUGAGUGACGGUAAUGGGUAAAGAAGCACCGGCUAACUACGUG